rnacentral:rRNA from 1 species
CCAAUAGCGUAUAUUAAAGUUGUUGCAGUUAAAAAGCUCGUAGUUGAAUUUCAGGCCUGGCUGGACGGUCCGCCCUUCGGGUGAGUACUGUCUGUGGUCGGGUCCUACCUUCUGGCGAAGCGUCAUGGCCUUAACCGGCCGUGGCGGGGAACCAGGACUUGUACUGUGAAAAAAUUAGAGGGUUCAAAGCAGGCAAACGCUGGGAUACAUAAGCAUGGAAAAAUGGAAUAGGACAAUGGUUCUAUUUGUUGGUUUCUAGGACCGUUGUAAUGAUUAAUAGGGAUAGUUGGGGGCAUUAGUAUUCAAUUGUCAGAGGUGAAAUUCUUGGAUUUAUUGAAGACUAACUACUGCGAAAGCAUUUGCCAAGGAUGUUUUCAUUAAUCAAGAACGAAAGUUAGGGGAUCGAAGACGAUCAGAUACCGUCGUAGUCUUAACCAUAAACUAUGCCGACUAGGAAUCGGGCGAUGUUAAAAAAAUGACGCGCUCGGCACCUCAUG